GGUAGUUCAGUGGUAGAGUGCUUGCCUUGCAUGCAUGAGACCCUGGGUUCGAUUCCUCAGUACCA
rnacentral:tRNA from 1 species